GCAAGCCAGACCCAGGUCACAGAGGUCACAACAGGUUAGGCACGGAUCAGAGACAUCAUAGCAAACCAGAUAUGGGUCACAGAGGUCAAACUCAGGUCACAGAGGUCAAACUCAGGUCACAGAGGUCACAACAGGUCAGG